CAACUGUGUGAAUUAAUGUGAACUGCAUACUGCUCUGAACAUUGACAUCUUGAACGCACAUUGCGGCCAUGGGUUAGCCUGUGGCCACGUCUGCCCGAGGGUCGGCUUAUAAACUAUCACGACGCCCAUAAAGUCGUGGUUUGGGUUCUGCCAGCCGGCAUGAUUUCCUUGACACUUGUCUUGUCGAGGCGUCGGAUCUAUGGCUUUGCCCCAAUAAAUGUGUCCGGACAACCAACACACACAUGUUGUUGUUGGCGGAGUCGUGGCAAAAUAUAUAUGUGAAUGCGCGCUCCGUCUGAUAUGUAUAUAUAUGUGUAUAUGUGUGUGUGGGGGUUUGUGACAUGUUGCCUACCUACCUAUGACCAAUUCCUGACCUCGGAUCAGACGUGAUUACCCGCUGAACUUAAGCAUAUCACUAAGCGGAGGAAAAGAAACUAACAAGGAUUCCCUUAGUAACGGCGAGUGAACAGGGAUUAGCCCAGCACCGAAGCCUGUGUCCGUUUGGGCACUAGGCAAUGUGGUGUUCAGGUCGUUCCGCAGAGGUACUGCUCCAUCCUAAGUCCAGCAAUGAGUACGGUGGUACGGACAUGGCCCACAGAGGGUGAAAGGCCCGUGGGGG
rnacentral:rRNA from 1 species